rnacentral:lncRNA from 1 species
UCACGAACACAUCACAACAUCCUCCAUGGGCCUCAUCCUGGGGUACCUAUUCUUGACCUGUGGGGGGGUGUGAGACAGCAAGAGUGAGCUCACAUACGUUCAUCGCUCAACAAGUUGUGGGGAAUAAUGUGCAUGAACUCGCCAAAGGUGGGAGCUCACGUGAAGUGUAAGGCUUACCAAAGAAGAUGGUUAGAGUUGAGCAUUGCUUUUAAAGUUGAUCAAAAUUUUAUUAGCAGUUACUAAGUAUAAGUAAAUACCAACCCAAUUAAGUAGUAGAACAACAGUAACAACAUCACCUGCGAUGCAAUGCAUAUGACAAAUUGAAUUUAGUUCCAUAGAUUAAUCAUGUGAGUGUCCGAGCUGCUCAUGACCGUGAGCACGGCUAGUAUACCAGUUUUACACUCUACAGAGGUUGCACAUCUUUACCCACAAGUCACGUUACCCAUCUGCCAAGAGACGGUCAAUCCCAUACACCUCUACCGAGGAGGCGAGGCAGGGUAACACUACGAGGCCUUUACAAAGUUCCACUAGCUUCAGAAAACCCGCUACAGUUUAUAGGAAGCUCUAGUGCAGGAGUCCCUCGACUGACCGCCAUCGCAGCAAAAUCAACCAAGGACCUCCCUACACUGACCACUCCCCUACUGCCCGUGCCCCUUUCGGGUAAGGUAAUCAUCCACUAGCUUUCCUAGUUAAUCAGCCAAGGGCGUCCAUAAACCCUUGUGGUAGCACUGUUUUCCCGGGUGGUUCUCCAUGUUCCCAUUAACAUAAUGAUCUUAUCAUGAACAUUAAAUAAUGAACAGAUAAUAAAAAGUGUAAUCAUGAGUAGUGAAUAUCUCUAUACCCAAAACCACAUAAAGCAAUAGCAUGUACUACCCAAAAAGUUCAGUGGAGUCAAGGUAUAAAGAUAAUCAAACUAGGGUAACCUGUUGGGUCCCAUCAAAAUUAACCUAUGCAGAUCAUUAUGAUUAAUCAGAACAUGACUGGGUAAAAAGAAGUGAUCAAGGGCACAACUUGCCUGGGACUUGAGAUUCCAGGUACCAACUUGCUCUUCAUAUGACUCGUGACAUCACGCUAGUCGUGGCAGUACAAACAAAGAUGUGUAGGCAAAAUUAACAUCACACCAAACAUGAGAAUAAACUGUGUAAUAAUAAUCUACGCGAAGCUACGAGAUCGGGGGAUCGAGAAUCACCAAAAUCGGAGCUACGGUUAUCGAGUUACGAAUUUCUGGGGUUAUUGAGUACAUGGUAUAGAUUAAUUCAGAUAAAUAAUUUUAAUUCAUAUUUUAUUGCUAAACAGAGGUACUAAGUGGUAGACAAUAUUAAAACAAAAUUAAUGCAACUGGAAUGACUUAAUUUGGAGUUGAAAUGAAUUUAAUAUGAAUUAUAUAAGUUUAUGGAAUUAUUUUCAUACUAAAAACCUAUUUCUUUAUUAAUUUCUGAAUAUUCUAAGUGUUCUGGACUCGGCACAAUAUUUCUUAAAAGAUCAGAGGUCUAAAUCUCAAUUUUCCCAAGACUCGGUAUUCCCACAAUGUGGACUGCGGGUUGACUUAGGAAAAAAAUGUAGGGGUUCUUUUAUAAUUUAGCCGCGGCCAAGGGGUACGCGCCAAUCUGCGCCAUCCGAUCAAGAGUGGGCGGCCCAGAUUAAAUCCCCAUAUAAGUGAGUCGGUACACGCAUCUACGACCGCACGCUCCGCAAUCAACGGCCCAGCAAUAGCCACGCCAUGAUCACGCCAGAACAGCCCGGAUCCGUUGGUUUGGUUAUCAACAGUUCAGAUCAAUCCGCACGAAGAGGUAUCCUCAGCUUCUAAUCUGGCGCGCUAGCAUAAGAUCCAACGGCGGCUGUUCAAACCCCCCCCCCCAUGGCGGAGCCAUGGCUGGCCAUGGUCGUCCCACGCCAUGGUGCUUCAAGUUCAAAACUGAAUGCCGCAAAAUCGUAUGGAGGACAAAGCGAAGGUGUCAGGGGACUUUUUACCUGGAUAUAGUACGCCCACAUAUCCCGCCCACGGUACAGGUGGCUCCGCGGUGGCGCCCCCAGGUUCGAUGACGAAUUCCGGACGAGUCCCGCCAUUCCCCGCCCCGAAAGGUCACGCAAACACACGGUGUAUGUCUGUGAAGCACUCAGCCCUCCCAAUUUGGCCUGACCGGCAAGGCAGCCGAAAGGCACCGGUAAUGCCCCAAUCUCUCUCUCACCCGAGGUCUCUGGCGUGAUGCUUUGGGCUUACACGGCCAUCUAUUUAUAGAGGAGGGUGAGUCCGCGUAGAGGGAAAUUCGUUGGCGGGGAAGGGAAGACCCCGAGAUCUCCUGCGACGGUCAUGGCAGCCACUAGAGGUUGAGCGAUUUCCGCCCAAGGCCAAUGCCAGAGAUCCCGGUGGCUUCUGUUGAAGCACGGCGAUCCCGGGGCGGUGAAGACCACCCAGGCGAGCUACAGGCUGACUCCGCGCGGGCGGUUGCCGGGCAGCGCGGAUUCGUUGCGAGGUUCACGGCGUGGGUUGCACAUCAAAACGGCAUUCCGAUCUCUACGGCCUCCACCGCGUUCAUGGUGGAAGGAGGCUUCUGCGCGACAGGGCCCAAACGGCAGAGACCGGGUCAGUGUUGUUUUUCUGCGGAUGGUCCAAGGAGUGGGGUCGAUCCGGUAGCGUUCGGCCCGUGAUUCCUGGUGGCAGCAACACAUUCAGCCGAGUCUGCGUGACUUUCGCGCGAGAUGGGGAAGACGCACCCGACCAGCGGGUCCCACACGCACGUGGCUAUGCGCAAAAGGAAGGGCUGGCACGGUGGGGCCUGGGGCAGCGACCAGGUGAACGCCCGAGCAACGUGCAUGGCUGGCAUCGUUAUCACGUCAAAGCGACAAGCAGGAAAUGAUAGACUCGUUUUUUUUGCUUGCUUGAUGUUAGUAUGACAUAUAUGCGGCAAGAUGAAAUAAUAAAAUAAAAUAAAAAGAAGGGAUGUGGCUACGGUAUUUGGAAAGGCUAGUGGGCGUUUGGGGAAAAGUCGACCUAGGCAACAUUUUUUUCUGUUUAAAUUUUCAACUUCAAAUUAGACUCAAGUUCAAUCUAUCAAAUUCAAAAUGCAGCAAACAAAGAUUUCAGCAUGCAAUGUUUUAAUUUUUUGAUCUAUUAUUCUAUUCGUUAUUUAGUCCAAAUGUUUGCAAAUAUGUAAUGCACAUAUUAUUUUAAGAGAAUAUUGUUUUUUAUGUGUAACAAAACUGGAAGAUCAUACACGUUUUCAUAUUCAUUACGACUCUUAAUUUAAGAGAAAAUAUGUUAUGACGUGAAAUAUACUUUUACUUAAAUCUUUUCUUUGAUAUGAUUUCUAAAUAUAUUAUGAAAGGAAUGUUUACUCGUUAAAAGAUCUUUAUUGUAUUAUAAAGCAUAUUUAUUUAGAGCUUUAGAAUAUUUUUUUCCUUACGUCACCCACAAUACGAUUUUGGAGUGUUACAAAUUCUACCCCCUUAAAAAUAAUCUCGUCCUCGAGAUUAGUAUGAAAGGGAUGUGGUCAGGUUGGCGGUUACUUUUAGUUUCUCAAGUAGUUGCAUUACCAAAAGGUUUUCUUAUUCUGGAUCAUAAAUUAGUAGGUGAUUAGGAAAAGCAUAAGUAUUUUUUUAGGCCAUCUAGUAGGCAAGAUUGAGUUAGAUCAGGGAUAGGUUGAGGCUAGAAGGAUUAUGACAAGGAAAGAUUUCAUCCGAAUGUUUAAGUCUUGAUUCAUCUCAAGAUUUGCUUUGACUGUUAUAUCCUUCCUUGUCGAGGUUGAUCUCCUCCUUUCUUUCGGUCUUGGUGUCUCCAUCCGAGCUAGGGAGAUAUAUUUAAGAUGGCUGGGGUAUAUGGGUAGGACAAAAUCUUGUUUAUCAAUAGGUUAGCAUAGCUAGAUGGAUUAUGUAACCUAUUGGGAGUGCAUGGCUGAGUUGAUCUAAGGCACUAACUUAGGCCCAAAACAUGUUUAUAGGGUUUAAUCUAUUUCACUAGUAUUAACUAACCUAUUUAUGUAACUCACUUUAGAUUAGAUCAUAUUAGGUUAGAUGGGAUCUAGAUUAGAUUUGUAUGACUAGUUUGACUAGAUAAGAUCUAAUUAAUUUGCAAUAGAUCAUGGUUGUUAAACUAGGGUGGAUAAGUAUGCUUAUUAGGAUAAGAUGGAUCUAUGAGUGUAGGGUGGAAUCUUUUAAGAUGAUAUGUAUAUUGUUAGGCUAGAUACUUUAAUGAGAGAUAGUCUAAUUUGUCUAGUUAUCUUUUAUAUGCAUUUCCUUUUAUGCCUAGAUGUAUAUGCAGAUGCAAUUAUGGAUAUUACUCCACAACUCAUCACACUCAAUCAAAGAUCGAAUCAAGCAGUUAUCACAAGAACAAACACUCAAGCAUGCAAAUAUUUACAGAAAUAGUUUUGAUUUUGUUCCUAAGAUUAGGUUUCCUAUUCCUAAAAGUCACUUUAGGUAUAGGAUUUCAAAGUGCGAAAUCCACAUUUGUCUUUAGAAGGAAAAGGUAAGAAUAAUCAGAGUAAAUCAGAAAUAGAUGAGAAAAGAUUAAGAAAAGUUUAGAAAGAAUCAGAGUAGCGAAGGUAAGUAAGUAAUGGUUGUCCAGUUCUAUCUAGGUUUUGUCCUACAGUCAACAUUCCUCUGAUACCACUUCUGUCACACCCGAGUUUUAGGGGCACCAAGACCCGGGCGCGAACAUAAUCACCAGGUGUGCUGGGACCAAGUCUCACACAUAUGAUGAAUCAUGGCACAAGAUUGAAUGUCACAUCUUUACUAUAUAAUAGGAGUUCUAUACAAAAUAAAUAAAUAAUUACAUUAUAAGGAGACAACAGUCCAGCAACCCAAAGUUGACUGGGAGACGAUGGCCUAGACCUCUCACGAACACAUCGCAACAUCCUCCAUGGGCCUCAUCCUGGGGUACCUGUUCUUGACCUGUGGGGGGUGUGAGACAGCAAGAGUGAGCUCACAUACGUUCAUCGCUCAACAAGUUGUGGGGAAUAAUGUGCAUGAACUCGCCAAAGGUGGGAGCUCACGUGAAGUGUAAGGCUUACCAAAGAAGAUGGUUAGAGCUGAGCAUUGCUUUUAAAGUUGAUCAAAAUUUUAUUAGCAGUUACUAAGUAUAAGUAAAUACCAACCCAAUUAAGUAGUAGAACAACAGUAACAACAUCACCUGCGGUGCAAUGCAUAUGACAAAUUGAAUUUAGUUCCAUAGAUUAAUCAUGUGAGUGUCCGAGCUGCUCAUGACCGUGAGCACAGCUAGUAUACCAGUUUUACACUCUGCAGAGGUUGCGCAUCUUUACCCACAAGUCAUGUUACCCAUCUGCCAAGAGACGACCAAUCCCAUACACCUCUACCGAGGAGGCGAGGCAGGGUAACACUAUGAGGCCUUUACAAAGUUCCACUAGCUUCAGAAAACCCGCUACAGUUUAUAGGAAGCUCCAGUGCAGGAGUCCCUCGACUGACCACCAUCGCAGCAAAAUCAACCAAGGACCUCCCUACACUGACCACUCCCCUACUGCCCUUGCCCCUUUCGGGUAAGGUAAUCAUCCACUAGCUUUUCUAGUUAAUCAGCCAAGGGCGUCCAUAAACCCUUGUGGUAGCACUGUUUUCCCGGGUGGUUCUCCAUGUUCCGAUUAACAUAAUGAUCUUAUCAUGAACAGUAAAUAAUGAACAAAUAAUAAAAAGUGUAAUCAUGAGUAGUGAAUAUCUCUAUACCCAAAACCACAUAAAGCAAUAGCAUGUACUACCCAAAAAGUUCAGUGGAGUCAAGGUAUAAAGAUAAUCAAACUAGGGUAACCUGUUGGGUCCCAUCAAAAUUAACCUAUGCAGAUCAUUAUGAUUAAUCAGAACAUGACUGGGUAAAAAGAAGUGAUCAAGGGCACAACUUGCCUGGGACUUGAGAUUCCAGGUACCAACUUGCUCUUCAUAUGACUCGUGACCUCACGCUAGUCGUAGCAGUACAAACAAAGAUGUGUAGGCAAAAUUAACAUCACACCAAACAUGAGAAUAAAUUGUGUACUAAUAAUCUACGCGAAGCUACGAGAUCGGGGGAUCGAGAAUCAACAAAAUCGGAGCUACGGUUAUCGAGUUACGAAUUUCUGGGGUUAUUGAGUACAUGGUAUAGAUUAAUUCAGAUAAAUAAUUUUAAUUCAUAUUUCAUUGCUAAACAGAGGUACUAAGUGGUAGACAAUGUUAAAACAAAAUUAAUACAACUGGAAUGACUUAAUUUGGAGUUGAAAUGAAUUUAAUAUGAAUUAUAUAAGUUUAUGGAAUUAUUUUCAUACUAAAAACCUAUUUCUUUAUUAAUUUCUGAAUAUUCUAAGUGUUCUGGACUGGGCACAAUAUUUCUUAAAAGAUCAGGGGUCUAAAUCACAAUUUUCCCAAGACUCAGUAUUCCCACAGUGUGGACUGCGGGUUGACUUAGGAAAAAAAAUGGAGGGGUUCUUUUAUAAUUUAGCCGCGGCCAAGGGGUACGUGCCAAUCUGCGCCAUCCGAUCAAGAGUGGGCAGCCCAGAUUAAAUCCCCAUAUAAGUGAGUCGGUACACGCAUCUGCGACCGCACGCUCCGCAAUCAACGGCCCAGCAAUAGCCACGCCAUGAUCACGCCAGAACAGCCCGGAUCCGUUGGUUUGGUUAUCAACGGUUCAGAUCAAUCCGCAUGAAGAGGUAUCCUCAGCUUCUAAUCUGGCGCGCUAGCAUAAGAUCCAACGACGGCUGUUCAAACCCCCCCAUGGCGGAGCCAUGGCCGGCCAUGGCUGUCCCGCACCAUGGUGCUUCAAGUUCAAAACUGAAUGCCGCCAAAUCGUAUGGAGGACAAAGCGAAGGUGCCAGGAGACUUUUUACCUGGAUAUAGUAUGCCCACAUAUCCCGCCCACGGUACAGGUGGCUCCGCGGUGGCGCCCCCAGGUUCGGUGACGAAUUCCGGACGAGUCCCGCCAUUCCCCACCCCGAAAGGUCACGCAAACACGCGGUGUAUGUCGGUGAAGCACUCAGCCCUCUUAAUUUGGCCUGACCGGCAAGGCAGCCAAAAGGCACCAGCAAUGCCCCAAUCUCUCUCUCACCCGAGGUCUCUGGCGUGAUGCUUUGGGCUUACGCGGCCAUCUAUUUAUAGAGGAGGGUGAGUCCGCGUAGAGGGAAAUUCGUUGGCGGGGAAGGGAAGACCCCGAGAUCUCCUGCGACGGUCAUGGCGGCCACUAGAGGUUGAGCGAUUUCCGCCCAAGGCCAAUGCCAGAGAUCCCGGUGGCUUCUGUUGAAGCAUGGCGAUCCCGGGGCGGUGAAGACCACCCAGGCGAGCUACAGGCUGACUUCGCGCGGGCGAUUGCCGGGCAGCGCGGAUUCGUUGUGAGGUUCACGGCGUGGGUUGCACAUCAAAAUGGCAUUCCGAUCUCUACGGCCUCCACCGCGUUCAUGGUGGAAGGAGGCUUCUGCGCGACAGGGCCCAAACGGCAGAGACCGGGUCAGUGCUGUUUUUCUGCGGAUGGUCCAAGGAGUGGGGUCGAUCCGGUAGCGUUCGGCCCGUGAUUCCUGGUGGCAGCAACACAUUCAGCCGAGCCUGCGUGACUUUCGUGCGAGAUGGGGAAGACGCACCCGACCAGCGGGUCCCACACGCAUGUGGCUAUGCGCGAAAGGAAGGGCUGGCAUGGUGGGGCCUAGGGCAGCGACCAGGUGAACGCCCGAGCAACGUUCAUGGCUGGCAUCGUUAUCACAUCAAAGCGACAAGCAGGAAAUGAUCGACUCGUUUUUUUGCUUGCUUGAUGUUAGUAUGACAUAUAUGCGGCAAGAUGAAAUAAUAAAAUAAAAUAAAAAGAAGGGAUGUGGCUACGGUAUUUGGAAAGGCUAGUGGGCGUUUGGGGAAAAGUCGACCUGGGCAACAUUUUUUCUGUUUAAAUUUUCAACUUCAAAUUAGACUCAAGUUCAAUCUUUCAAAUUCAAAAUGCAGCAAACAAAGAUUUCAGCAUGCAAUGUUUUAAUUUUUUGAUCUAUUAUUCUAUUCGUUAUUUAGUCCAAAUGUUUUCAAAUAUGUAAUGCACAUAUUAUUUUAAGAGAAUAUUGUUUUUUUAUGUGUAACAAAACUGGAAGAUCAUAC